UACGUAGGGUGCAAGCGUUAAUCGGAAUCACUGGGCGUAAAGCGUGCGCAGGCGGUUUUGUAAGUCUGAUGUGAAAUCCCCGGGCUCAACCUGGGAAUUGCAUUGGAGACUGCAAGGCUAGAAUCUGGCAGAGGGGGGUAGAAUUCCACGUGUAGCAGUGAAAUGCGUAGAGAUGUGGAGGAACACCGAUGGCGAAGGCAGCCCCCUGGGUCAAGAUUGACGCUCAUGCACGAAAGCAUGGGGAGCAAACAGG
rnacentral:rRNA from 1 species